CUCGCAGAUAGAGGUAGUGAUGAUAAAUAACAAUACAAGACUCGUCCGAGGCCUUGUAAUUGGAAUGAGAUAAUUAUAAAUUCCUCACCAAGGAACAAUUGGAGGGCAAGUCUGGUGCCAGCAGCCGCGGUAAUUCCAGCUCCAAUAGCGUAUAUUAAUGUUGUUGUGGUUAAAAAGCUCGUAGUUGGAUAUCGAUCGCUUAAGAAUGGUUUCAUGCGAAUGAAACUAUUCAAAAAGCUGUUAAAUGGGAGAGGCUUACCUAAGGCUUAAAUGCUUUGGGUAUAUAGCUUAUCUCCAAUAUUACUUUGAAUAAAUCAGAGUUCUUAAGACAGGCGUGAUGCUUGUAUAUUGGUGCAUGGAAUAAUAGAAUAAGAUUUUCAUUUCGUUCUGUUGGUUGAUGAGGCGGAAAUAAUGAUUAAUCGGGACAGCCGGGUGCAUAGGUAUUCAUAAGCGAGAGGUGAAAUUCGGCGACCUUAUGAAGACCACCUAUUGCGAAGGCAUUUGCAAAGAAUGUUUUCGUUAAUCAAGAACGAAAGUUAGAGGUUCGAAGGCGAUUAGAUACCGCCCUAGUUCUAACCAUAAACAAUGCCAACUAGUAAUCUCGUAUCGUUUGAAUAAAACGACACACGAGGCUGCUUUCGGGAAACCAAAGUUUUUGGGUUCCUGGGGAAGUAUGGUUGCAAAGCUGAAACUUAAAGUAAUUGACGGAAGGGCACCACCAGGAGUGGAGCCUGUGGCUUAAUUUGACUCAACACGGGGAAACUCACCAGGCCAGGACACUAAAAGGAUUGACAGAUUGAUAGCUUUUUCUCGAUAUGGUGGUUGGUGGUGCAUGGCCGUUCUUAGUUGGUGGAGUGAUUUGUCUGGUUAAUUCCGAUAACGAACGAGACUUUAGCCAACUUAAUAGCUUAGACUUGGGGAAGAAUGGCAACUGGCCGUAAGGUUCUAUUGUUAUUCGAGUUUAAACUUCUUAGAGGAACUAGCUAUAGUAAAUAGCAUGAAGAAAAGCAAUAACAGGUCUGUGAUGCCCUUAGAUGUUCUGGGCCGCACACGCGCUACAAUAGAUUAAACAUCAAGUUCUCCUUGGCGACAGCCACGGGUAAACUUUUUAAACUAAUCUGUGGUCGGGAUAGGAGCUUGCAAUUAUUCUCCUUGAACCAGGAAUUCCUAGUAAGCAUAUGUGAUUAGCAUGUGUUGAUUAAGUCCCUGCCCUUUGUACACACCGCCCGUCGCUACUACCGAUUGAAUUUACUAGUAAGAUGAUAGGACAGUUUUCAAGUGGCUUAUCAGCCGUUUCUAAAUUGAAAUAUCUUCAAACUGUUAAAUUUAGAGGAAGUAAAA
rnacentral:rRNA from 1 species